rnacentral:lncRNA from 1 species
AGGAUACCCUUAGGCCUUAACAGAAUUUCAAAGGAAGGGGCAUUAGUAACUGCAGGGGCAUUAGUCAGAAUAAGGCUUCAAACUCUUGGAACCAUUGCAACAAGCGAACAGACAAGUCGAAAAGCAGGCGCAAAGUGACUACUACAAACACAUAGCAGCGUAAAGCUACUACUACAAAGCAAAGGCAAAGAGCUCGCUAACGCCGUUGCAGCUCACUAACGCCCGAGUUUAGUUACGCUAACGCCCUAAGCUUGUUGAGUUCUUUGACGUCGUGUCGUGCUAAUGCUUGUUUUCAAAUGAUUCUAGUUUUAGUUGACUUUCUUCUUUUAUUCUAGUGUGAAUUGACUUUCUUCUUUCAUUCUCUUAAGUUGGUUGACUUUAUUUCUCUUCUAUAUGUGUGUUCAGGCUGACUCGGGGAAAUAGGAAAAUCCAUGCCUAUAAAAGCGAGAAGAUCGCCUCUUUCCUUUUCCUACUGCUAAGUAUCCUGCAGACUAAACAAGCUUAGGCGAAGGAAAGGAAGAUAGCUAUCCACAACAUGAAUGGAGCUAUCCACUGAGAAUCAAGUCAAAAGACAGAACAAGAGGAACUCAUGGAGGCAUAAGAGAGCGCAAGAACAAGAGGAACUCAUAGAGGCAUAAGAGAGCGCAAGAACAAGAAUAACUCAUAUAUAUGGGUAUCCCUAUUUCCAAGAGGAUUAUUAGUGAGUAGAGCACCUAUAAAGGCAUAGAUUAACCUAACCUGACUGCUUCUUUCUAAACUUACUUAAUUGAACAGAGAAAAUAAGAGAGCGUGUAACAUAUAGAGAAUUGAUUAACUAACUUAUGACUUUAGUAACGGAAAGGAAUGAUUAUUGCUUCCUGAAAUCGUUCAUAUAUUGAUUGGAUUAGUAGAGUAGAGUAAGCAAUUACAUAAGAUGUUAGCAGUGUUUGUUUUGACGGGAGCUUAUAUAUGUGUAACGCUCUCCUCUUUUGCACUCCAUUCUUAUCGCCCCUCCAUAGAUAUGGUAUGAAGCGUUGGAACCCAUGCAAUAAGUGAAUAAAGGGAAGGGUUUAUUGUUGCUCAUCCAAUUCCGUCUAGUACUCUUCACAAACUCUCCCAAACUCCAAUGCUUGAGCAGUAUCAAGUUAGUGUAAUCACGGUAGCAAAGCAGUGAGUGUAAUCACGGUAGCAAAUCCAAGAUCAUCAUAUAUAGAAGCCGAAUCGAAGCAGUCUAAAACUCCUAACCUAAAAGAUAUACCUGAGCAGCACCUUUUUAUUACCUCGACACUCAUUUUAUUGCUUGGCCUGGUCUGGGCUACCGCUCGACUUCUGUGCCAGCUAAUGAGUCGUAUUCUGUGAUCCAGAUCUUGGAAACUUAACUAGAGCAGAAGAUCUUGGAGCUGACUUUCGCCUGUUAGCCGGGCACCUUAGCUUCAACCUACCUUUCUUUGUUUUCAACCUAAAACACUAUUAUGGGAAUAUUAAGACUACUAUAGAAUACAAUCCACUAUGUCUACCAAUAAGACCUUAGCUCGGUUUAACUCAAGACAGGGAAUGACAUUGCUGCCUACAAGACCGAAACUCGGAAUUCAAGAUAAGGUACUGAUCCUCUGAUAAAGAAUAUAACUAGCAAGUCAGAACUCAAGUACAGCUUUGCUGGCUAUCAGCCUACCCUUCCUCGCCUUAAGCCUACUUUUGCUCUCUCAAGGGAUCCAAAUAUAAUGAAUGCCUUCUGUUCACUUAGUUUAAUGAUUCCGUUCACUGAUAACUUCUAUUAGAAUUGCAGAAUAUAAGGACUAAGUCAAUCGAUAUAGAAGUAUGGAAUCGAACCCGCUCGGUGGAUCUGUAUCGUUAGUUAAAGAGUAGAAGACAUUCUCUUGUGUGCCAAUGCAAGGAUUCGGAUCGAUGUUUUAAGUCUGCUAAGUACUUGUUGGAUUACUUGGGUUGAGUUGCAUUCCAAUAGAUCCCCCAGAGGAGGGUCAAUCUAAUAGUUAGCAGCUGCACUCUAUAUGGCAGUAGUUGCAUUCCCACACUAACCAGCUCAAUUCCGAGUUUGGAGUGGGUGGCCCCUCUUUCUCUUAUGAGUCCUAUCAGUCCUUGCGAUCAACAGUUCUAUUCUUGUUAAGUGGUGAUUUCAGCCUUCAAAGCGGUAGUUCGAGCCUAAUAGCGGUAGGAACAAGUACAGUCCUUUGUCAGAGGAAUCAGACCCAGGUUUCCGUUUUCUAGUAAGGAGCGGAAGAGCUCAAUUAAGGAUCCGGACCAGGUUAGAUAAGUCAGUUUCAGGCUGAGGGAGAUAGUGAAGUCAGUCUGACCUUGUGGGUAGCAAUUCCCUGUUGGCAGUGAUUCCAAUCCGAUAUUGAGUAGUCAAAUUCCCUAUUAGGUAAUAGAUGGCGCUAGUGAAGUAUGAUUUCUUAGUGCAAGUCUCUUUGUGCGCUGAUUCAUUACCUGUUCCGAGUUGAGUUGUCCUGCACCGUUGUUAUUAUCAUAAUCAUAGGUGUGUUGUCGAGCAAGGAAAGGUAGCUUUAAGUGCAGUAGUGACAGGAUUAGGGUCGGCAGUACAGUAAAGGAAUCAAAGAGAUAGUAAGCUUGUUAUACAGUAGUCAAUUCCCAGUUCCUAGGUUUGUUAUGAGAAACACCGUUUGCAGUCUGUUAGGUAGUGGGCUCAUUUCCUAUUUAUGCGAAAGCGAUUAAGCGCACAGGGAGAAUAGCCUGUUUACCGGUAGUUCCAAUCUAUAUUAUGUAAGAUAAAGGGCAGUGUUGCAGAACUAAACCCGUGAACUAAACACUCUCCGGCAGGAUUAUAAGCCAUUCCCGCCCAAAACUACAGAAUUCAGGGAGGGAGUGGCAGACCAAUACAAGGUCAAGUCCAAAAGUCAGGAUAGUCAGCCUAGUGGUGGGGUUAAAAGGAAUGCCAGGAACAACACAGAGAAUAAAGCUGGGCUGUAUGAGAAUUUCAUAGCAGCUAACAGAUCUUAACUAGCAACUGGGAAUAGGAACACCGAUAGCAGCCUUAUUACUCGACUGGAGUUUAGGGACUGCCUCUACUGAAUCUAAGGGGGUUAAAUGCUCCACUUCGGUCUGUGAACUAGGCCGAGUAACACUCUUUUCGCUUCUAAGACUUUCUCCCUUAGUAUAGGGAAUCGAAUUACUGCCUCCAAGGCGGAACUGGCGCCUAACAAGGCUCUCAAUCCAUGCUAACAACCGAUCUGGGAACUUAAUAAUAAUAUUAGAGAUGAAGAGUUGAGUUCAAUAGCACAAGGGGAUCCACCAAGCAAGUAAUAGACCGUAGUAGGGAAUGGUACCUGUGAGGGCUAAGGGCCAUAGACGCACAGGAAUGCCCUUGGCAAUGAAGAGUUCCCCUAAGUAGUAUGGGAAUGACUCCUAGAUUUUAGUCCUAGCUGGAAUCCCAUCCCAGUUUGAAUGGAACUCAUUGGCAUAGGAAUGACUGAGGAAAGUAGGAAUGCCCGGGCAAGGUAAAAGAAUCAAGCUCAUAAGUAAGAACCUAAGUAGAAGAACCAACACCGAUAAGAAGCAAAAACAACGUCACUAGGGCUUCCGGUCUCAAACCUUGCUUUGAUUUAUUGUUGCCUCUAUCUACUUGCUCUAAGUCUCCAGAUCUAUGCUUUCUUUCCCUUAGAUACGAACCCAGGUCUAGUUUGGUUGUUGUUAUUACUCCGUGCUUGCUGUCUUCGGCGGUAGUGAGUUGGGCUCUACAGUACCUUAACCUUAGCCUAUAUCGCUUGCACCUAAAGCAGUCUUGUUCAUUUCAUUACGAAAUUGCUUAUUACAUUAUUUGAUAUGAUUAUAUAUUACAUUAUUUGAUAUGAUUAUAUAAUAUUGAUUAUUCUUUUCACGUAUGUAGUAUUGAUUGGUAUUUGAGAGUAUUUUAUUAGCGGAACUAGACUCAACAGAAGCAAGUUCUAUUUCCGUUUUUGUAUAAAAGAAGAUAUUUUCUAUUCUCAUUGAACAGAGGAGCUAUGGUGCCAGUGUGAAGUAAACAUCAUUAUCAUAUAUUAACUAAAUUAUGAUUAGUCAACCGCAUUCUUCUUAGUAUCGGUUAAACUCACGCUAUUGACUUUGAUUCCUCUUAUUGGCAAUAUCGGACUUACCCGCUUGCAACCGGACUACUAGAACGCAGGAGCUAAACUCGAAAGAUACACCCAUUAGAUUGAAAACACCGGUAGCAGGCCUUACUUUUGGUUAUAACUCUACCCUUUUGCUCUGUGGCUCAAUACUUAAGACUUAGGGUGGAAAGUCAGCCUAGUUGCCGGGAGAGUAGGGCUGGCAGUGUGCAUUUCGCCUUAAGGGAAGCCUUAGAAGCACUAGCCGCAGGCCUAUGGUUAGGUAGCUGAACUCUUCUUGGUAGUAGUGAAAGCCUUAUUAGUAUUAGUGGAUUUCCCUGUUAGUAGUACAGGUCUUGUUAGCCAGGUUUUCUAUCCUUAUGUGCCCGAGCUCAAUUACUGUUAGCAAAGGAAGAAGAUCUAGAUGUUAAAUAAGUCAGAUUUAGAUGCCAGCAAGAGAAACCUCUUUGUAAAAGAGACACCAUAGAGAGUAAGGGACAAUUCAUCCAGUGGAAGGAAGCGCAGGAAAGCCAGAUCUUACGCUCUUAGGAGAGGAGAGCAAGUUGACAAGGUAAAAUACAGCAAAAUAGUCAAUAGCGAAUCCACUUAAAGAAAACCAGCCUUCGCUCUAUCCUUAUUUUGGACUUAUAAUCCAUUAUAUUACUUAAAGAACAAACCCGCCUUUGCUCUAUCCUUAUUUGACUUAUAAUCCAUUAUAUAUUAUUCAAUUAGUGGAUUCAAAAGGGAUAAUUCCAUCAAAAAGGUGUAGUUUCCAUGAAUCAUAUGCCUGUUCUUGGCACGUCUCCCAACAAGCAAGGGACAAGAUCUUUUCGAAAAAAGAGGUCAAGAGAUUUCCCCCGAAUCAAAUAACGAUAAUGCGAAGGGGGCGAUGAAUCCAGAUUGUCAAUUGAGUUACCUACUUCUGCUACUUUUUGGUUAUUAGGUUUAUGGAUCGAUGUAGGGCGAUUCACUACAACUUCCAACUGUUGUCGGAGUUUGUGUCUUUACCUAUACCGAGACCUUCUGAUAGCAUGUGACUGAUCCAAAAGAUUAGACCUACCUUAUCAAGUAUUGCGUUCAUUUGAUAUUUCGGAUCGAAGAUUGUCAUUCUGCAAGUGCGAGAAAGGGGAACUCGCUAACGUAUUAAAAGCGCUAACUUUGUUUGUAAGUGGUAAAGAGCGGAAACCAGAGAAUCAUAAGUUGUAGUGCUGUAGCUCACUGAAAGAAACUACGGAAGGGAUCCAAUCUUGCUCGGACUUGGGCUGCCUCCUUACCAUUAAGAGUUGCUGUAUAUUCACUGAGGCUCCAUUGUCCACCAAGACUCUAGACACCGGCUUUCCAUCGAUGUGAGCUCUUCCGUAUAUAUGCCACAAAUGUGCUUGGUCAUUUCUUUCUGUUCUGGUAGCUUAUCAAAAGUGACUCGACUGGUUGAGGUCUCUUGAAGAGACUCCGUCUGACCGGUCGAACUUGCUCCCAUUACGGAUAUUAUCCUUUAGCAUGAGAGCCUUGGAUCGUAAUCAGGGUUGUGUCAGUAAUCAAAACCUUAGCGGAGUCCUUGCUCACCUCUGAUCUGUCUGUUGGCUCCAUACCUGAUUAAACCUCUGCAAUCUACUGAAACUAUAGGUUUGAUUCAACAUCCUCAUCCAGCAGAAAUGCAGAACUACAGGGCGUGUUGACUGGCGGUUUUGUUCUUUGAUGCUGUAGUUAGCUGUUUGAUGCGGAGAAAACGAGAGUUGUAACGCUGUGGACAUACGAUAGCUAUGUUUACUGAAAUAAGUAUUCAUUUUCAUACAUACAUAAGUCAAUCGUGGAGGAGAACCAAAGAGACUCCCAUAGGAUUGCUUCUGCUGCUGAUAAGAGGACCGGUGCUUUAGGUUAUUGAAACUAAGGCCACUGACUUAAAGAAUUUGAUGGAACCUAUUAGAUCUGUGAACGGGACGAUUUAUGGGCCCUGCACUUGAAAACUAACCACUGAUGCUAUAACUAGUACUGUUGUUGUUAGCCACACUGUGACAGUUGCUGUGAGAGUUGCGUGGCAGGGAGCACACUUGAAAGGAGAUAUACACUGGCGGUAUUCGAGAUCAAGGCGACUAACUCGAGAGGCACUGGCGUUACUUCUUAGGCUGGAGAAUGGCAUUUGGAUAUUAAGUCAUCCGGAACCUACCUAUCAGUACCAGUCGGUCAGGGGUUCCUUGUUUUGUAACGAGUAGUACCCUAGAUCCCAAAGGCUAUACCAAGCAGAAGAGGAAGGAAGAGGCCAACAAGAUCCAAGCUUUUGCAGUAGCCGCCCAGUUUCUUUUACGGACAUUAGCUGGGCCCCCAACAUAUUCCAGCUCUUGUCUUUUAAAUAAUAUAAAUAGAUAAACCGGGACUCCUGUAAGUGAAAUAUCAAACUAGUCAAAGAGAGCCGUGGUACCAAUCUAUUUGGAGAAUAUAUAGGAAAAAGAAAUCUUGUAUAAAGAGAAUAUAUGAUGGACAAAGAGAGUAGAAAUAUGGGAUAUGAGAUUGGAGUUCUAUAUAAACAAUGGAAAGGACUAUGGUGUGUUAGGCCCGCUAACUAUCAUUGGCCCCUAAAUACCGAUGUUAGGAUCUAUACUUGUUUGAGUGGAAUCUAGGCCACUCUAUUGAUUUAUGGCGCCCUACUAGAAAGACAUCUUAUGGUCAUCCCCAAAAGACGACUAUCUCAUAAGCGUUGGCCGGUAGACAUACCCUACUUGAAUAUCUUAGUUACCUGUCAAUAUGGGCAAGUUCUUACUGUUCCAGACACCUUACUAAUUACUAGAGUCAAGGUUUUCAAACCCUAUCAUAAAAAAGAGAUGUUCUCCUUUAGAAAUCCCACAUAGCCGAGCCAUAAACUAGUUCACUGAAUGCGCUAGGCUUUCAGCGCCUUGAAAUACAAAUAUACAGGGAAUCGACUCAAUCCCUAUACCAAUGGUUUGGAAUAACACUUGGUUUGGAAUAACACUUGGAUUUUGGAUCUCGCUUAUUACUCAUACGAAUUAUCGCGCCAUCUAGUGUUUUCUUUCCUCCCAACUAUUUCUAUUGUGGUGAUGGAAGGUGUGCUUGGAUGAAUUAAUAAAGGUUGAUAAAGGAAUUGCAGGAUUAUAUCGUAAGAGUCAGACUUUGAGAAAGCAUUGAAAACCUUUUGAUUGGAGUCUACCACUCUCUAUCACAAGCCUCUAAGCUGCCCGCCCUUGAUUCAGUUGCCUGCAAUAAUAAGGAAGAUCUGGACAAUAGACUUUUUGCCACCGGCGUGAAGGAAUGCACAUAGGGAAGGAAGUUGUAAGGCAAGAAAUGACCUUCCCAACGCAUCUUGUCUGGAGUUUAGAGAAACUAGACCACGUCCCGAAAGAGAGGAAGACAGAAGGCAUUCUAAAGCUGCUAUCGAUGCUAAAUCAUUAGGUUUGUUUGGUUGGGGGAUAAAUAGUAUCAUUCCGUAUGGGCCCCGCCCCUUGAUCAGUUUAUGGGUAAGAAGCCAAUUGUUCACUUUUCUUAUUAGCCCCGGAGACUUGGAAUUCUCUUUCGGGCAAGAAGCUUGAACAGGCCUAGAAGGGCAAGCGUUGAACAUAUAGAUUUCCCAUCAGCAACAGUAAAGUAAGGAUUCGUAGCACACCGUGAAAAGCCUUUAUAUGAGUAUUUCACUGCCAUCUAUCUUUCUUGGAACUCUUCCUUAAAGAAAUAGGUGGAUUGAAGAUGAAUGCACACCCCCACGGGACCUUCUUUGCUCUUUAGAAUAGUUAUACCACUAAGCCUUUCCACUUACCCCGGCCCGUAGUCUUAAAACCUCGUGCUACACACCUACUAUGGCUAUUGCUCUCGAGUGCUAGCUCUCUAUUCUUAAGUAAGGACCAGGACAGCUCCUUAUUCCAAAUGGGCAGUCUGAGGGAAAGGGAAGGUUCAAAGGACAAAAAACUCUUCUGAGGGAAAGGAAAGGUGCAAAGCUAAGGACAAACAAAAAGAGCCUAUUCUCAGGGAAAGGUGCUAAUGCUAAAAAGAGCCUAUUCUCAGGGAAAGGAGAAAAUCAUACCGCUGGGAAUCAAAUACACUUUCUUCCACUUCUGUAGCUGGUAGUUAUAGAAUCCCUUGCUACCAAUGUGUGGGAAUCCGGGUUGAAGUGGUUUGAUAUAAGUCUUCAGGAAGUCACUUAUCAGCUCCGGUGUUUUUUGAAGAAGUAGCAAAUUCAUAAUAGAAGGUCCCCAUUAAGAAUGAAUAAUCUCAGGUCUUCUUGCCCAUUAAGCGCUCUACCAUGAGCUCCCGCAGAGACGAAGUUAAGGUGAGAGGGAGCUGAGCUAUACUGAUGUUUUGGAGGGAAGGAAUAUGACUUAUUAACCGAUAACUGAAGUGCCCGAACUGAGACUCACUUUCCCGAUGGAAGCAAAGGGUCGAAACCAUUGAGUGAGACUAGUGGGAGAGUAGAGGUCUGUCUCUUGGGGUACGAGUAUUGUCUAGGUUUGGUUAUUGUGUUGCGCGUGUCUAAGUAAACAAGUAUAGAGUUUAGAGUGAGGAAGCAUCGGUGAUAUGAAAGAAAUGAGUUAGCAAGGAGUCGGGAGUGAGGAAGCAUCGGUGAUAUGAAAGAAAUGAGUUAGCAAUAGUUGGGUAAUAGCUGGAAGCAGUUUUAGAGCUUAUAGGUGCAGCUCCCGACGAUUACGAAGAAAGCACUCUCAAUCAGGGCUCAGGUUCUCUGUUUAGGGAGUUUGUUGAGUUCGAGCUCAGGUCUGUCUCUUUGUUGGGAGUGAGAGUGAAAGCAUCAGCUGGAGAAAAUGCAGUUCUAAAGUAAUAAAGAGUGGAAUCCUAUAAGGAAGCAGUGCCAUUGAAGUCUACACUACAACAUCAGAUGCUUUACUAAAGGAAGCAGCAAGGCAUUGUAUAGAAUAUGGAGCUGGAUCUUAAACCGAAGAAGAGAAUGCCCAAGAAGAGGUGAAGUUGUCAAAAGUCAGAGGGCGUUAGCAAUUAACGUUCUUGUUUUUCAUCCUUAGUUUCAUCUGUGAAAUCUACUAGAUCAGAUGCUAUUACAGGCUUUGAUGCCCUAUAGCCCUAAGUGAAUGAGUUCUUGUGCGAGUGAAAUCAUCAGCCGAAGAGUGAAAGUAGACCAGAGAAGCUAGAUCGGGAUCGGGAUCUUCAGUGGAAUUCUUUGACCCUUAUUUAUAUUAGAAUUGAUGUCAUAUUAUUAUUUAUGUUAUAGCCACCAACUCUAUAUACUGCGCCCCUGAUUUAGAGUACAAGGCGGGCACUCCUAUUUCUCGUCUACUAACCUAUUUCAAUGACUCUUAUGGGACUAUAAAGUAGGAAGAGCGCAAAGAAGAGGACCUGUUUCAUUGUAGACAGAAUGCUUAGCCCACGGUGAAGAUACUGUUUCAAAAGUGAUCAAUUAAGUCAGCGAGGAGAGCCCAUAUAGAAUAACUAAGUAAUCAAGAAGAGCAAGAGCCGAGAGAAGAUGUUUUAGAAAGCUGGGGCACUCUUCAAUGAUUACUGGCGCGGGUAAGGAAUAAAGGGAAUCAAGAUCAUAAGCAAGCAGUAGCUUUACUCUUUUAUAUAACAGGUGUGGUGAUGGAAAUACAUCAUUCAAUUCAGAACUUCAAGGUGGAGGUCGGGAAUAGGUCAUCAAUCAAAGUAGUCUAAAUUCAUGGCAGUUUCUUACUUAUUUGUGGAAUUCUGAGGUUUCCAUUGCAAACAAUAAUAUUGACUGUGCAAUAUCAAGGUAAGGGUGGGUUAAUUCCUUCUGUAGCGGUAAGGGUAAGUAGGUCUGAGUAUUGAGGAGACUGAACAGAAUAAGGGUAUUUCGCUGAGAGAGAGAGGUGCUCUUUGCUUUACCUUGAGCCCUGCCCUUUCCUCAAUGGGAUAAAGUGUGUGGUCCAAGAACGAGGCAUCGGAAUAACAUAGUGCAGAAUUGUCCAUCUAUUAAUAGAAUAAUCCAUUCUAUGGUUCUAUUCCACAUAACCAAGAGAGGAUUGGGUUACUCGAAGUGAAAAGGAUCAUUCCAGAAUCUAAGGUCGAUUUGCUUUAUAAGAGAAAGAGAGAAAUUGACUUCUCUUAAUAGGUUUAACGGGAUUCAGCCAAUUGUCUCGAUCAUGGAAUAUCAUUGAGAAAUAGGAAUCCGGGGUGUUAUCAAAGACGAGAUGAUAUUAUAUGAUAGUAUAGAAGAAGUCAAUCAUCCACUUUUAUAUCUUUGAAGUCGUAAAUCAUCUACUUUGGUAUCCUUUUGAACUGUUCCUCCAUUGAUCAAGAAUAUAGGUCUUAGGGAAGAGUAUAAUAAUCAUCCAAUAAGAAGGGUUUCAAUAUACUUAUGAUUUUCACACCUAUUGAUUCUAACUACUGAUUGCAGAGUGGAUCAUUCGGACCUUAAAAUUCAUAUAUGUGGAUCUCGGACCUAUAAAUAGGGAUAUUCCUGAGACUCACCUAUAAAUAGGGAGAUUAUUGAGACUCACCUAUAAAUAGGGAGAUUCCUGAGACUCACAAAGAAAAGGGGAAGUGACUUGUACAAAAAGAAACGAAGUGACUUUGACUUGUUUGUCCAUAGCCUAAAGCAAGACCAAUCAAUCAAAUAGAGAUUAGUAACCGAUUGAACACUACAUGAAAGGAGUUCCUCUGUUCAGAAACUUUAUGAUGUGCAAAAUGCUCCUGGGCUCUCAUUGGACCAUUAGUAUCUAUAGAAGUAAGGAUGUAUCCAUAUAAGUAAGGAUCCCGAUUCAAGGUUCUCUCGGCUAAAUAUAUAUGCGCUCUCUCGGUAAGGAUCCCGAUUCAAGGAUCUCUCGGUGAAAUGGGUAUAUGCGCUCUGCUCUCUCGGCGAAAUUGGGAUAUAUGCGCUCUCUCGUUUCGAUAAAUGGAUGGAUUUUCGUUCAAGAAUGACAUAUUAUGGGAACUUUCCAUAUCCGGUUCAUCCUUCGGAACCAUAUCACAUCCCGGAUCUUAUGAAAUAGGAUGAAUAUGACGGAAGGUAUUUAGGAAAUACGUAAUUAUCAAUAAUAUAUAUAUAUAUAGUUUCUUUCUGGAUUUCUUUUCCGAUCGCCAGGAAGGUACAAAAGAAGGAAGGAUCAUGUUUUUUCUUAGAAAUGAGAUGAUCUCUAGUAGACCUAUCAAUAGGAUUCGAACCCACCACCAUCUGUCAGAGAAAUUGAUCUUGUGUAGGAUUCCCAAUAAAGCACAUUCUUCUAAUUCUGCCGGAAGCUGAUUAUCAUUCAUCUGCUUCUCAUGAUCUGUGAAUAGCCGUGACAUUGAGGAAGAUCCCCAAAUCAAGGCAUUUCGGCAAUCGAUCUUAUUCUAUCUCUCUUCGUUCCGUUUGCGGAAAGGAAGGAUCCCAUAGAAUCGAUCCUUCUUGUUUGUUGCUGAAUCUCUGGUUGAUCGAUCAAUGUAGGAGAUAUUUCAUCAAAUAGAGAUAGAUCCAUAUUCUAAAGGAAGAAGAUCUAUGGUCAGAAGAUCCUUUCUAUUGGCUAUCAUCCCUUACUUUAACUAAAAUAGAUAUGGUGGGGAUUCAUAUAGCAUAAUUGACAAUACAAAUUCCCCUUACCUUGCUCAAAAACCGAUCCUUGUUUACCAACCACACAUUGUCUAACCUAAUCCAAUUCUCUCUCGAUAAACCUUCCUCAAAAAAUCCUAUUCUCGUGCCACCCAACUAACGAAGAGAUCUUGGCGGAAUUGCCACAUAUGAAAUCUAGCUAAAUUGGGCAAUGAUAUACCCUACUUGUUUCUCGAUAAGAGAUAGAUAGGAAACAUGCUCAAUAUAUCAUUUGAUUGAAUAGUUGUCUCAGCUCCUUGUUGUUUGAAGAAACCCUCCCCUGAAAUUGGUCUUUUUAACGAAAAGCAGACAUGAGAUAACAAAUCCAGUCUGACCCCAUAAUUCUAAUAGCUGUCCCGAAUUCCAGUUGAUUAUGUUUAGAUUCUUCCUCGGAGAUACACGAUCAAACAAUUCCCAAUCAUGGGCCUUGUGGAUCAGUAGUAAUAUAGGAUACAAAAAACAAACUCUAUAGAUAUUCGCUAUCAGAGAUAUUCGCUAUCUGUCUCUUUGCUUGAGAUCGAAAUUCCAGCUAUGGUUUCAUUAUCUAUCUUACAACCAACAAAAAUGCCUUCCCUUUUAUCUAUCUUACAACCAACUAGAAUCCCUUCCCUUUUGAGAAUCCGGUUCCUCCACCACCGCGAACACAGGUUAGAUGAGGGGCAUGAGACACUUUUGCUUUAUUUGGAGAACUCAAGUACUCUCUAGCGGAUCCAUGAAACAACUCUAAGAAGGCCCCUAAAGUACUAGUAUAGCGGAUCCAAGAAACAACUCUAACUCUGAAGUGAAGGAAGGAUUAUUCCCUGAAGUGCUCUGCUCUCUUGCAGAUCCAUGAAACAACACUAAGAAGGAUUAUUCCCUGAAGUGCUCUGCUCUCUUGCAGAUCCAUGAAGAACUCUCUUUGGAAGAUAGAGGAGCGAAAGAAUCAACCUAUUUCAUAAAGGAAGACAAAGAAGAUGAAUCCAAUGUCUCAUUUCUGGGUCCAAUGUCAAUUCCAUAGUAUAGGAAGAAGCCCCAUAAAAUGGAGAUUAUGUCUUUCGCCCAUAUAGUUUAUUGUUCAUAUUGUUAUAUUCGACCAUAUAGUCUAUUGUUCAUAUUGUUCUCUAAAGACCGCUACUACAAGCAAGCAGUACUACACGCUUUUCUCGUGAAAUCUCGAUUGCUUGUUUCACCCUGCAAAUCACGUUGGGAUACUCCAAAUUCUGGGGUCGUUUCAUAAAGGGUGCUCUUGAUGGAAAAAGUGAGUGAAAGAUCCUACUUCAUUUCAUUUUAUACAGUAAUCUAAGAAUUAGUGAAGUUCGAAUUAUCCAUUGAUAUCUCUCUCUCUCAAUUCGCCUUUAGAUCUCAAUGGCUCGACUUGGAAAGAAGCCUUCUUGCCAAUAACCUUAACCUUUCUUUUUGACUGCUAAAGUGUAUUCUCCUGGUGCAACUGAAACAAGAACAUCGGAUUCUUUUCUUUAAGUCCUAGAGCAGAGCUACGGAAACGAGUUGUACUGAAUACGAGUGGAGUUGAGUUCGAUCAAAAGAACAACUAGUAGAAGAUAUAGAUACGGACAGGUAGAAUAUGACUCCCUUAUAAACACUAUGGAGUUUAGUCUUUCAUUGAUGCUAGUUAGCGAGGCGUCUAGUAGUUGCUUGGCGCUUGCCGUCUUGUCUAGUAGUAGCUUGGUCAUUAGUUGUGUCUUGUUUGUCGUCUUGUCUACUUGUCUGCUUGCCUGGAUUUAGCGGAUCUUUCCAAAAGUAAUGAAUGCAAAUCAAAACCAUCUUAUGGAGAAGCUUCACGACCGGUAGGUCUUCUUAAGAGACAUUUGGCGAUAAGCUUGUGCCUGUCUGUUUGUUUGGAGAGAUCAUCAGAAAAAGGUAUGUCGUCCCCGAUACAUAAAAAACGAAGCCAGAGCCACUCCCGUAUAAGGAGCGAGGUAUUGUAAUGUAGCUAGUGAAUCCGCCGUUUCGUUUCGGCUACCACAAUAGAAAGUAUAUUCCAUUGCGCCCAUAUUUCCCGUAAAGUAGUAACUACCUGAGCCACAGAGGAUGCUUUUUUACCAAUUGACUACAUAAACUCAUAUGACCUUUUUGUGACCUUUAUGAUUGAUAAGAGUAUAUGUGGCUACGGCUGUUUUACCGGUCUGUCUGUCCCCAAUAAUGAAUUCUCGCAAACCACGUCCUAUAGUUAUCAUCGAAUCAAUAGGAAUAAGCCCUGUUCCUUUUGAAGAGGCUCAUAUACUAAUAAUAAGUGUAUAAAUCAGCAUACCUGGGGCAGGGUAGAUUCCAUUCACCGAGAUUAUAAGAAGCUUCAAUUGCAUCUAUACCAUCAAUAGGUUUUCUCCAGAGCAUGUGGAACACGACCCCCAAAACCCUCACUCACUGUCAUUGGUAUUUGAUCGUCUUCUUGCUUUUCAUGACUUUCCCCAUUAGAUCAUCAUCACCUACCUUAGAAUCAAACUGUUCCGUUCUAAGGGAUCCGCCAACAUUAUUGGAUUCCAAAUUCUGAGCAAUGCCUAUUGUACACACUCUCUUCAAACUAAACUAAUGAACCUGUCAUUACAGAAUCAAGACCUUGACUUGCUCAUAACUCUCGGAUACGGGAAUUGCUCAUAUCUAAGGCAGCAACUCAACUUGGAAUCCAUUGGUACUGGCUCGGUUGCCUUUGUAGUAGUGUUUUGUCGGCUUGUGGGACUUGAAACUGGAUAUUUCACUCGAGCGGAACCUCUCUAACCCGCCUAUCUAUAUCUAAUAGGAAUGCACCUACACUUAAGAACUCCCUUACGCGCACUGAGUCUUGUUCCGAACCCCAACUACUGAAUUUAUAUAUCUCGCCUCGAGGUUAACUCGCUAACUUGAAGAACCGAACGAAACUGAACUUCCCGCAUCUGAUCUGUAUCCUUAUUCUGAUCCAGCAUUAAGGUGUGCUGUGAGAUUGAACCGGUUAUCUACCUCUGGCUUUUUCCCUAAAGCUUUCAAACGAAAAGGUUAUUUCCCAUGGGUUGAUACCUUACUUUAGCCUUAAGCACUUACUCCGGUGGGCUUCGAUUCGAGAGUGGAGUCAAACAGGAAAACUGUCAUUUCAUCUAUCGCAGAAGCAGAACAUGGAAUUGAUCUUGCAGCUGACCUCUUUGCUCCUUACUCCCUAAUAGAAUCAAGUAAAUACACUAAUUCCUUUGCUUUUGAAUAAACGUAGCCAAGAACCUAUCUUGUAUAUUUUGACAUAGUCUCUCUCUCUCGUUGCAAACACGGAUUCCACUCCGAACACUAAGCGCUUCCUUGCCUGUGAGAUAUGAUGAUUUUGCCCCUGAAACAAUACCACCAGCUACUGCGGGACAAUAAGUGUCAUUUCCCGCCCUUAAGAAGAGAGUAUCUGUGAGUGCUAGUUGAGUAUAGUAGUAAGCGUUCUCCUAUAAUAAGAGAAGAUCGAAUUGAUUUAGUAGUAGCGGCGUGAACAUGGCUAGUUGCUAGUAUAGUUGUAGCUUGGUCGGCUCCCGAAAACAGGAACAGCGGAUUCUUAGGUCUACUCUCCUUCUGAUGCUUCAUCUACGGAUCUCGUAUACUUAACUGGCACUGAAAGAGACUAAGUGGAGUUACCAACAAGAGGUCGACCACUCCAAGGCAAGGAUCAAGGGGAAUAUCCAUUUGGCCACCGCAUCAGACAUCAUGAGAACAUGUUAUUACUGUAACAAUAUUAAUAUGUAGGCUUAGUGUACUGUUGAGUGAAUUAGCAAGGCAGGUACAGCAGUACGAAGAUUGGAUUUGCAAACUCUAGAAGGGAGACUAUAUACUAUAAGUUCUAUCUUCCGGCCGUCAAAAGUCUAUUUAUGCCUAAGAUAUAUGGGAAGACUGUGUUGGCUAGCAAUAAUGAUAUUCGUGAUGUUUCUGGUUCAUUGCUAAGUUUGAAGGAGAAGUUGCAUCUCGCUUCUUUCUCUUUGUAAUGAAUUGGGGGCUGCAAAAUCUCCUGUAAUUUGAUUCCUUUUCUGAAUUGAGGUUCUGUGUUCAUCGUUGAAUUCGCCUGUGCAGUAGCUUUAUAAGUAUAGUACUUUAGUACAGUGCAGGAUUAUAUGCGUAGCAAUACAAUUUCAAGUAGAAACCUAGGUAAGGAACAGCUUGAUCUACGGAAGUGCACCUCUCUUCAGCUUAUGGAUCUCCACUUAACCUUGUGCUCUCCUUCCUGGUAGGAGAGUCUGACCUCAAACAACAGAGAGCAACCCAUGCGCCUCCUUUCUCUUCUGAAAAUAAGGAAUUAGCCCUAUUGAGCGCAGAAGCAUCAGAUCUUAGAACUCCGUAAGCAUCAAGGAAAACUGUAAUGGAUUAUCAAACACCUGGCAUAGAAAUCAAUAAAUACCCCGACCCCUAAAACGUGACUUAUUCUUAACUACAUACUUGACUUACGCUACACGGUUUUCAGAAUAGAAGGUAGGCCACCAACCCCUGGAAAGUGAUAAGUUUGCCCCGUUACUUGCUCUUUUCUGAAUGGAAUUUAGGCAGCUGAACCCUACCCAAAAGUACUUGACCCCCAUGAUCCUUAUUUUGAUCCUUCCACUUAUGAAGCUGAAGAGGUAAGCGUUAGUGAGUUUGAGUCUUGCAUAGAAAUAUUGGUAAUUAGAUAGGGAAUUGGCUUUCCCGAGUAUACGAGUUCUGUUCGCCUAGCGCGCUAACGGAGUUUACAGCACCCAAUAGAUACGACAACACAAGCCCUUGUAUGUUCUCUAAACUUUAAUAACUCAGUAGAAACCUACCCUAUUAGAUGUUUUCGGCAGCCAAAGGGGCACCUACUCAGACAAAGCGAGUGAACGAUUGGAUGGUCCGGGAGAGAAGAUAGAAAUCCAUUCUUUUAUUAAAGAAAGACAAUAGGUAGUUGCUGUUGAUGAAUCCACCCUUGGAAGUCUCCUGGAUUACACUGGUAGUUCCAUCCCGGUCUCCUUUGGCAAGAGUGUCCUUUAUUAUGUCUGCCUUUAUUGGCAAGAGUGUCCUUUAUUAUGUCUGCCUUUAUUAGUAGGAGAGGUAGUUAGAUAGGUCGGCUCGCAAGAAGGGGUGGGGCGUCGUCUAAGUUUGUCAUAACAAAAAGACACAGGGGAGUUACGAUCUUGCAAUUAUUCCUGAGGAUGUGGGGAGCCAUUAGCUAUGCAAUGGUUAGGAGGCAGAUUGGAUCAAAGCAAUUCAGAACUUCUGCAGAUUGGAUCAAAGCAAUUCAGAACUUCUGGUAUGGGCCUGCGAGCAUCUAGUUAAAGAGGACCUGGCUGAUAGCCCGUCUAAGGGAUUUCCCCUUCUCGUCGAACGUUGGUAGUGCUACAAAAGACAAGACGAGAGGAGCCGGCAAACAUCUUGUAUGACGGGUUCCUGCUUGGAUUUUCGGAGGCACUUUGGGACCUUGAACGAGACCGACUCACACAUCUUCAUGGCUAGAUCGAUUUACCAUAUGAGUUGUUAGGAUUCUUUAUUCGAGCGUCGCUAAUACGCCUAGUCGCAUAUCCUAAAGAAAAAACGAUUGGAGAGCCUACUGUUCUCACUGGCACCAUUGGGCGGGGUAUUAUGAAUGAGAAACUUUUCUUCCUUCCAUUCUAUGAAUCACCUGUAUCAACAAGGCUUCAUAAAGAAACGGAAUACUCAGCACUCACUCAUCUAUCUGAUGACGAUAUCCUUAUUAUUGGUAUGAGGGGAGACUUGCAAAUCUUCGAGUGUUACCCAGCCUCUUUCCUUAGACCUAGCUACGUGUUACCCAGCCUCUUUCCUUAGACCUAGCUACCAAGAAGGGAAAGCGAACCACAGAGAAAGUCAAGCCGGAUCUUAAGGAUCUUACAUUGCCGGGAAAGAGCCACUUUGAGUAGUUUGGCAACUUGACCAAUCAAAGGAGCAAACCGUUUUCCAUUCUUUUCUUACGCCUUAAUUGUUGGGUUUCGUAGUUUCCGUAGAACUUAUUAAACUCAAUAUAUACAAAGUCGUUUUGAUCAAGCUCAGCUUUGAACAGAAACAGAAGGGAAGGAACUAUAUGGGAUUUGUUGGGCGUAGAGACCCUCUUGCUUGCUAAUUAUCUAUUCUAUGAUGUCAUUUCUUGGAUCAGUAAGAAUAUAGUUAAGAGAUGUUCGAUUUGUAUCAGUAAGAAAUAGGUUAAGAGAUGUUCGAUCUCGCUUCUAUGCUGUGACACCUUAUAGCUGCUAAUUGAAUUGGAACCUAUGCUACCUACGGGCACACCAAACUAAGGGCUCAAGGGUAAACCAAAGAUCAGUACUAUAAGGUAACGGCACCACAAGGUGCGGAUGAAGAUCGAUAUGGUUCACCAACUUACUCCUGAUCGGAUUCUAGAGAUUACCUUUCCAUAGACCUUACUUAUUGUUGGAAAAAGACCUCAUUCCAUCCAUUAAGUAGACAAUAAAACAAUCUUUCCCAUUGAGACCCUGACUGAUAAGGAAUCUCCCCUUUCUGGUUCAAGAGGUUACUUACCUGUUGGAAAGGUCUAGUCGGAUCUACUUAAGCUUUCGAAUUGCUCCUCUAGUAGGAGAGAGUCAUAGGUGUAAGGUUCGGCACUUAUAGUAGUAGUGAGUCAGCUUAUAGUAGUGAGUCAGCUUAUAGGUUCCUAUUCAUAUCAUCAUAUGCUCGGUACAUUCCAUUCAACAAACAAGAGUCCGGGUAAACAGUACAGGUUCGGGGAAGUUCUGUGUUUGAGGGAAAGGAAUUGUUAUGACUAGUUAGAAUAUAUCUAUGUUGUUGGUGUCGCGGCAGGGCCGCUCAUGUUUUAGGCUGAAACACUACCUUUAGAAGUAGGGCCCGACACUAAACUAGGAAUUUGAUUAGUCAGAAUAUACCUCGGUAGCACAAAAGAGAAACUAGUAAGCAAAGAGCACGCCUACUACUGAUAGGACUUUCACUGGGGAGACAGGGAAUCACUCCUUCUUGCCCAACCCCCGAACUCCUUCUUGCCACCCGCAGCCUCCCUCUUUAAAGGAUCUAGUAGUUGCAUUCAUUCAAUUAUUAGUAAUUCAUUCCAUUAUUUGUAUAGUUGCAUUCAUUCUAUUCAGCCUAUUAUGAUUUGAUUACUUGACUCUCACCUUACUGUAGUUGCUCAAGCAGUUUCAAGCAGGGUGUCAACAUCCAUUAUUCUAGGAAAACAAGCAAGAAGGUAAGAGCGAGGUCGACAAGAGAAGAAGUCGUUUCCAAAUCAGUAGUAGGAACAACUUAAUUAGUAGGAACAGGCGAGGAAG